UACAGAGGUCCCAAGCGUUGUUCGGAUUCACUGGGCGUAAAGGGUGCGUAGGCGGUCGGGUAAGUCUGAUGUGAAAUCUCACAGCUUAACUGUGAAACUGCAUUGGAUACUAUCCGGCUUGAGGAAUGGAGGGGAGACUGGAAUACUUGGUGUAGCAGUGAAAUGCGUAGAUAUCAAGUGGAACACCAGUGGCGAAGGCGAGUCUCUGGACAUUUCCUGACGCUUAGGCACGAAAGCCAGGGGAGCAAACGGG
rnacentral:rRNA from 1 species